rnacentral:rRNA from 1 species
GACGAACGCUGGCGGCGUGCUUAACACAUGCAAGUCGAACGAAGAGCGAUGGAAGCUUGCUUCUAUCAAUCUUAGUGGCGAACGGGUGAGUAACGCGUAAUCAACCUGCCCUUCAGAGGGGGACAACAGUUGGAAACGACUGCUAAUGCCGCAUACGAUCUGACCUCGGCAUCGAGGAUAGAUGAAAGGUGGCCUCUAUUUAUAAGCUAUCACUGAAGGAGGGGAUUGCGUCUGAUUAGCUAGUUGGAGGGGUAACGGCCCACCAAGGCGAUGAUCAGUAGCCGGUCUGAGAGGAUGAACGGCCACAUUGGGACUGAGACACGGCCCAGACUCCUACGGGAGGCAGCAGUGGGGAAUCUUCCGCAAUGGACGAAAGUCUGACGGAGCAACGCCGCGUGAGGGAUGACGGCCUUCGGGUUGUAAAGCUCUGUUAAUCGGGACGAAAGGCCUUCUUGCGAAUAGUUAGAAGGAUUGACGGUACCGGGAUAGAAAGCCACGGCUAACUACGUG